CUCCUCUCAGGGUUGCACCUGGAGCGUUCCCAGUACUCUACCAGUCUCGACUACGGGAGGGAGAGUCAAGCAGAGGCAUAUCCAUUCCAUUCCUAGGGUGGGCAGUGGCUAGCAAGUGGAAGGCAAUCUGCUACAAAC